GACGAAGGUGGCGAGCGUUACUCGGAAUUACUAGGCGUAAAGCGUGGGUAGGUGGUUCGGCAAGUCUGUUGUGAAAGCUCCUGGCUUAACUGGGAGAGGCCAAUGGAUACUACCGGACUUGAAUGUGGGAGGGGUCACUGGAAUUCCCGGUGUAGCGGUGAAAUGCGUAGAGAUCGGGAGGAACACCAAUGGCGAAAGCAGGUGACUGGACCACUAUUGACACUGAGCCACGAAAGCUAGGGGAGCAAACAGG
rnacentral:rRNA from 1 species